CGUGGCUCGUCCCUGGGCCUGGGCUCGUCACCUUUUUACAGGACAGUCUUCGUCGCUUCCUGAAAGGGCAGUGGGACGGUCUCCCACCGUGUCCCUCGUUCCGAUCGCAGAAGACAGGAACAGGGAGCAUUAUGGCACUUGUUGGAUUCGUCCAGAUUUACCUGACCUGCUUCCAGCCUUUGGCAUAGAGUGUACCACAUCUUAAGAUGUCUGAAGUGCUGUGGAUAACAAAGUGAUGAACUUAAGAAGCCCAUUGAAUGAGCUGGAGGUACUGGAGAAGCAGUGUAUGUCUUGUGUCUGGCAUUGUUCCAUCCAAAUAUCUGUUGGGAUGAAGAGAGUAACCCAGAACCCAGAGUAAAGUGUGUCCUAAUGAUCAAUGCAAGUUCUACUCAGUGAAUGUAGAUUACAGCAAAGUGAAGAAAGAGGAUUCAGACUUCUAACUGAAAUGUUUGACUAUAAAACUGCUUAGAAUGAAGGUCUUCAGAAGUCAUUUGUACAGUUUUCUGCUUAACCAAGAACUAUUUCCCCUCUGAAUGCUCAAA